rnacentral:tRNA from 1 species
GUUUUAAUAAUUUAAAUCAAAAAUAUUGGUCUUGUAAACCAAAAAUGAAUAUAAUCUUAAAACU